rnacentral:lncRNA from 1 species
CCGCCUACACCACUUCAGAUACCCGCCCUCCCCAUUUUAUCAGGGUUUUUGAAUCGGCAGGAAACAAAACAGGUUUUACAUCUUCGAUUUUUGGCGACGCACACAAUCCCUCUAUUUGCAACAGGUUUUGCUCUAUUUUACCCGCUUUCUCUUGCGAACAGAUACUGCCUCAUUCAUCCAUUUCAUUAUUUUGCAGUAAUCGGUGGUCCGUUGAUGUAAAGUUGGGUUCCACGAGGUGUCUGACAUGACCUGACAUGACUUGAGACGAAUAGGGACUUCUGCUUUGCCAACAUUGGACUCUGUCUUUUAGUUCAUUUCAACUUUUCUCUACAUUUUUCUGCAAUCACCCGAGAAAAGUUUGAAAGAGGUAAUGCAAUGUAUUUUCUCUCUCUCACAAUUUCGUUUAUUACGUGUCUUCUAUUUCCCCAUUUUUUUUAAUAAUAUAUCUACCUGCUUUUUGGGGUUUAGGGUGAUAAAUCACACU